GUUUGGUUAGGUUUGGUUAGGUUUGGGUUUGGUUAGGUUUGGGUUUGGUUAGGUUUGGGUUUGGUUAGGUUUGUGUUUGGUUAGGUUUGUGUUUGGUUAGGUUUGGGUUUGGUUAGGUUUGGUUAGGUUUGGUUAGGUUUGGGUUUGGUUAGGUUUGGGUUUGGUUAGGUUUGUGUUUGGUUAGGUUUGUGUUUGGUUAGGUUUGGGUUUCGUUAGGUUUGGGUUAGGUUUGUGUUUUUGUUUGGUUAGGUUUGUGUUUGGUUAGGUUUGGGUUUCGUUAGGUUUGGGUUUCGUUAGGUUUGGGUUAGGUUUGUGUUUGGGUUUGGUUAGGUUUGUGUUUGGUUAGGUUUGUGUUUGGUUAGGUUUGUGUUUGGUUAGGUUUGUGUUUGGUUAGGUUUGGGUUUCGUUAGGUUUGGGUUUCGUUAGGUUUGGGUUAGGUUUGUGUUUG